AAUUUUUUACAAUGGGGGAAACCCUGAUCCAGCCAUCCCGCGUGUAUGAUGAAGGNCUNNGGGUUNUNAAGUACUUUUGUCAGNNNNNAAAAGGUACCUNCUAAUACGAGGUACUGCUGACGGUAUCUGCAGAAUAAGCACCGGCUAACUACGUGCCAGCAGCCGCGGUAAUACGUAGGGUGCAAGCGUUAAUCGGAAUUACUGGGCGGAAAGCGUAUGUAGGCGGUUAGGAAAGAAAGAUGUGAAAUCCCAGGGCUCAACCUUGGAACUGCAUUUUUAACUGCCGAGCUAGAGUAUGUCAGAGGGGGGUAGAAUUCCACGUGUAGCAGUGAAAUGCGUAGAUAUGUGGAGGAAUACCGAUGGCGAAGGCAGCCCCCUGGGAUAAUACUGACACUGAGGUGCGAAAGCGUGGGGAGCAAAC
rnacentral:rRNA from 1 species